rnacentral:rRNA from 1 species
AACGAACGCUGGCGGCACGCUUAACACAUGCAAGUCGGACGGGGUUAUGUGCUUGCACAUAACUUAGUGGCGGACGGGUGAGUAACACGUGGGAACCUACCUUGUAGAGGGGGAUAACUGCUGGAAACGGCAGCUAAAACCGCAUAAGCCCUGAGGGGGAAAGAUUUAUCGCUACAAGAUGGUCCCGCGGCGGAUUAGGUAGUUGGUAGGGUAAAGGCCUACCAAGCCGAUGAUCCGUAGCUGGUCUGAGAGGAUGGCCAGCCACACUGGGACUGAGACACGGCCCAGACUCCUACGGGAGGCAGCAGUGGGGAAUCUUAGACAAUGGGGGCAACCCUGAUCUAGCGAUGCCGCGUGGAUGAAGAAGGCCUCGGGUUGUAAAGUCCUUUCACCUGUGAUGAUAAUGACGGUAGCAGGAGAAGAAGCACCGGCAAAACUCUGUGCCAGCAGCCGCGGUAAGACAGAGGGUGCUAGCGUUGUUCGGAAUGACUGGGCGUAAAGGGCGCGUAGGCGGGAAUAUUAGUCAAGCGCGAAAGCCCCAGGCUUAACCUGGGAACAGCGCAUGAAAACGGUAUACCUAGAGGACGAGAGAGGUAAGCGGAAUUCCUAGUGUAGAGGUGAAAUUCGUAGAUAUUA